UCCGGCUCUACGCCGGCAGUCUCCUUAGAGUCCCCGGCAUUACCCGCUGGCAACUAAGGACGGGGGUUGCGCUCGUUGCGGGACUUAACCCAACACCUCACGGCACGAGCUGACGACAGCCAUGCAGCACCUGUCAGGGGCCCUUACGGACCUUGCAUCUCUGCAAGUUUUCCCCUGAUGUCAAGCCCAGGUAAGGUUCUUCGCGUUGCAUCGAAUUAAGCCACAUGCUCCGCCGCUUGUGCGGGUCCCCGUCAAUUCCUUUGAGUUUUAGCCUUGCGGCCGUACUCCCCAGGCGGGGUGCUUAAUGCGUUAGCUUCGGCACGGACCACGUCGAUAGCAGCCCACACCUAGCACCCAUCGUUUACGGCUAGGACUAC
rnacentral:misc_RNA from 1 species